rnacentral:lncRNA from 1 species
GUAAGGAGGCUGCCGUCUCUAGUCAAGCACUAAGACUUCGGAGUAUGAGUAAGAACUCCACUGAGCCUGCUGGUGUAAUUAAAGGUUUUUCUCCACCUUUUUGAGUGACCUUUGGGUUCUCGAGUCUUCAAACUGAGGUAGCUGGGAUGCUGAGCUGUAACACUCAGCUGUGCCUCAGAGCUGUAACGCUUGGGUAUAGCACCGAGCUUUUCUGCUUUGCCUCAAGUCAGUCUGGACAAGAGUCAAGGGCAUGAUCAUGCUGGAUGACAUAAAGGAGUGGACAGACAGCUCUGGAUGGAACUUAGGACAUUGUGCUUGCAACCACAUGUGGUGCCAUUGAGAAGGCCAACACAAUUUUAUCUAAAAGUGUGAUAAGGAAGCUUAGAAGAUGGAGUUUUGAAGUCAUUUCAUGUAGAUGGUCAUUAAAGCCCUGAACAGGUGAACAUGAAAGAGAACAUAGAGGAGAAGAGCCCAGUGAUGGAAAAGGUUGGCCAAGAGACACAGCAAAGUGGAUAUGAAAGAAUAGACAACAUAAAAUGACUAAAAUACACACAUU